rnacentral:rRNA from 2 species
GGGGAAUAUUGCGCAAUGGGGGAAACCCUGACGCAGCAAUACCGCGUGAGUGAGGAAGGUUUUCGGAUCGUAAAGCUCUGUUAUUGGGGAAGAAAAAAUGACGGUACCUAAGGAGGAAGCCCCGGCUAACUACGUGCCAGCAGCCGCGGUAAAACGUAGGGGGCGAGCGUUGUCCGGAAUUACUGGGCGUAAAGGGCGUGUAGGCGGCUCGUGAAGUCAGGAGUGAAAGCCCGGGGCUCAACCCCGGGACUGCUUUUGAAACCAGCGGGCUUGAGUGCAGGAGAGGGAAGUGGAAUUCCCAGUGUAGCGGUGAAAUGCGUAGAUAUUGGGAGGAACACCAGUGGCGAAAGCGGCUUCCUGGCCUGUAACUGACGCUGAGGCGCGAAAGCGUGGGGAGCAAACA